GGUCGGUGGGGCCCGAGGGAUGCUCACAGCUGUCCCUGAGAGGUGCCGCUCUCCUGCCACCGAAGUCGCAGGGAAAUUCUGCUGCACUGACGUGAUACAAGAGCCAACCUUCUCUAAGAGGGGGAGAAAAAGAAGGAAGAUGUGUGAGCUCCCCCUGGUGCUUUCCCGCAUUCAGGCUGACUGAAAGGAACUGCAAUGAAACACGUCUACACAGGCACCAGGAAAAACAAAAUAUCUGGAUUCUUUCCUUUAAAAAAAUGCCUGUUUCCAUGCUGAUGGGCCUCAGAGCAAGAACCUCCAGGCUUAGGGCCUGAAUUCUACAUGUCACUUUAGGAGGAAUUCUUGCCUUGUCAGAGAACUUGUUUCCAAAACAAAAUUUCAAGUGGGGGAUUUGCCAAGCUGCCCCGAGGAUGGGAUUACUCUUGGAAUCAAACGGGAUUACUUUUUGUCCAGAACUGUUCUUUGUUAGUCUAGUUAUUCUUUGACGGAAUCAUUUUCACACACUUCUCUUUGUAUGUAUUGACAGCACAAAGUUAUCACAGAAACCAGCCAAUUUGACCAGUGGUGCCUUUAAUUCCAGAUGGUAUCUCCUAUCCUAAUAAUAAGCUAUAUUCAUAAUGGCCUCUUUUACCUGGGGGUCAGGGACGUCUGUGAACUCAUCUGAGAAGACUAUGGUGGAAAUUUCACUUUAUCUAUUCAAUAUACCCAAUAAAAUGGACUGCAACAAUCUAUCGACGUGUAGUCAGUCUUGCUCUUGGUCCAUAUGGUGGAGAGUCUAAAAGAUGUGUGAAAUUCAUUUCCUACCUACAGGUGGGAAAAUCACUUAGGGAACAAACUUUAGUGUUUACUAACGUAGUUAAAAUGAAUGGGUCAAUAUUAUCAUGUUUCUAUCACCUUGUAAGUAAAUACAAAGCUUUUCUUCACUCCAUUUUGUAUGUGUAAUUUUGAUUGAGUGGGAAUCUUGUAAAGCCAAAAAAUGGAACUGAAACCCCACUCAUAAGACCAUAAGUCUCUUUUUCUUAAUUUUUAAUUUUUCUUUUGAGACAGGGUCUCGC